UACGAAGGGAGCUAGCGUUGCUCGGAAUCACUGGGCGUAAAGGGUGCGUAGGCGGGUUUUUAAGUCAGGGGUGAAAUCCUGGAGCUCAACUCCAGAACUGCCUUUGAUACUGAAGAUCUUGAGUCCGGGAGAGGUGAGUGGAACUGCGAGUGUAGAGGUGAAAUUCGUAGAUAUUCGCAAGAACACCAGUGGCGAAGGCGGCUCACUGGCCCGGUACUGACGCUGAGGCACGAAGGUCAGGGGAGCAAACGGG
rnacentral:rRNA from 1 species